AAGAGAAGGGAAAACGUCAAGACUGAAGAUGCUCCCUCCAGUAGGUGAAAUGGCAGCGUUAGCAUCCAGGUGGUGGGCUGGGAAGGGUUAAGCCUGAAGUUCUUGGCAGCUGGCAGAUGUAACCUGAUCCCUCUCAGCAGCAGUUUGGGCUUUAUAACGAGGAAACCCGGAGCAAUCAGACGCUGGGCUGGUUUUACUGGUCUCCCCUCACUGUUUAGAAAGCCAGGCCUCUCCCUGCCUACGUAGCUGGUGUUUCUUCGUGGUGUGAGUUACUUCUGUAUAUUGCUCAGUUCAUCCGUGUUAUGCGGGUUUUUUACUGGGUGCGUUCUCAGAGUAUGUCCGAGUCUCCAAUAACAGGGACCAAGAAGGAAACAAGAAGAAAAAGAUUCACUUGCAAGAAGUGUUCUUCAUCUGUUACCAAGCAUGUGGUCCAUGCUUAUGCCUGGGAUGGAGGAUAAACACCCCUGGGAACAGAAGAGAAAGAAGAAGAGCAGGUCAACGUUGUUGGAAUGGAAGUUGCUUGGGG